AAAAAAAUCUAAAAAAUACUAAAAAAUAUCACUUUAUUCUUUGUUUUCCUAGGUUACUCACCCAACCUCCAUAUCUCUUCUCUGUCGUGUUGUUAGUAUCUCCCUCUCUUCUCUUCACGCUCGUCUCUUCUCUCCGGUAAAGAAGAUGAAGAAGUUUUCUCCACGGCUCCCAGCCAAGGUCACCGCAGCAUCCGUCACGUGCCUCACCCAGCCGAGGAGAAUGUCUUCGCGUCAGAGAGCGUCACCGCCUUCUUCGUUCUAGAGAGCGUCGCCGUCUUCCUUGUUCUUUAUCACCAUCAUCAGCCUCUCCCUUCCGAGGCUGAAAAGGAGGAAACCUUAAACCCUAUCAAUGCUAAACUUAACUACUCAAGGAUGGUAGAUAAAAAGAGUUUAGUUGCUAUUUUUGACUUUCAAUUAUUAGAGGCUAUAACAAACAGCUUUAGCAACAGCAAUGUUAUGGUAGAGAGUGGUUCUAGAAUUGUUUACAGAGCUCAUCUUGAUGAGAAUUUCCAUUCAGCUAUUAAGAAAGCAGAUAGUGAUGCUGAUAGAGAAUUUGAGAAUGAAAUGAGUUGGCUGAGCAAGAUUCGACAUUAGAAUAUCAUAAAACUCAUGGCUAUUGUAUUCAUGGUGAAUCAAGAUUCCUUGUUUAUGAAUUGAUGGAAAAUAGAUCAUUGGAAACUCAAUUGCAUGGGCCUAAUCGUGGAUCAUCUUUAACUUGGUAUCUCCGUUUAAGAAUUGCUGUUGAUGCUGCCAGGUGAUUUUGUCACACUUAGUCUGUCAAAAAUUGCUAGUAAAGUAUUCUUGUCUUGUAUAUACCAUAAUGAUUAACGACUGAUGCAUAUUUGACUUUGUUAGAGCAUUAGAAUAUCUACUUUGUAACUGAAGUUUGAGCUUUAAUAACCUAUCUUUUGUACUAGCUAUCAAACUUGCAUCACAAUCUUGAUCAUGCAAGCAUUUAACAAAUCAUUUGACAACAUAUAAAAACUUUGGGAUGGAACAGCCAAAUGGCUUCCAUUUCCACUUCUCAUAGUCAGAAUAUGGCCUCCCAUUCUUUUGACAAGUUACUACUGUGCUGAGAUAGGGACAGUUGGAAUCAUAGAGAGGGUAAGACUCAUCAAAUACCCAUUUUCCAACUGAAAAGUCACAUUUCCUCCAAGAACUUUUUCGGGUUUGCAUCAAGUUAACAUCUUUAAAUUCCAUGGCAAGCCAGUUGAACUCAUCCUCUGGGUUGAUUAGUGACAGUGUGCAGUGCAAGAUGCCGCAGAAAGAAGAGAAAGGACCACAAGUGAAGCUUUGGUUUUGCCAUGGAAGCACUAGGUGUGAGAGUAUAGUAUAGUAUGACUUGUAGAAGAGAACAAGACCCUUUUGUUUCUACUGUCUUGCUACAAAGUUUGUAGCAUACAUGUAACUCUUUGAUAUUGUAAAAGUAAAACGACUUAAUAUCAUUAUUAAUGUUAUUAUGUAAGA